GACGAACCGUGCGAACGUUAUUCGGAAUCACUGGGCUUAAAGGGCGCGUAGGCGGGCUCGCCAGUCAGGGGUGAAAGCCUCCAGCUCAACUGGAGAAGUGCCUUUGAUACUGCGAGUCUCGAGGGAGGUAGGGGCGUGCGGAACUUCCGGUGGAGCGGUGAAAUGCGUAGAUAUCGGAAGGAACACCGGUGGCGAAAGCGGCGCGCUGGACCUCUUCUGACGCUGAGGCGCGAAAGCCAGGGGAGCAAACGGG
rnacentral:rRNA from 1 species